AACGAACGCUGGCGGCAGGCCUAACACAUGCAAGUCGAGCGAGGGAGCAAUCCCUAGCGGCGGACGGGUGAGUAACGCGUGGGAACGUGCCCCUUGGUACGGAAUAGCCCCGGGAAACUGGGAGUAAUACCGUAUGUGGUCGAGAGACGAAAGAUUUAUCGCCAAGGGAUCGGCCCGCGUUGGAUUAGGUAGUUGGUGGGGUAAUGGCCUACCAAGCCGACGAUCCAUAGCUGGUUUGAGAGGAUGAUCAGCCACACUGGGACUGAGACACGGCCCAGACUCCUACGGGAGGCAGCAGUGGGGAAUCUUAGACAAUGGGCGCAAGCCUGAUCUAGCCAUGCCGCGUGAGCGAUGAAGGCCUUAGGGUUGUAAAGCUCUUUCGUGGGGGAAGAUAAUGACUAGUACCCCCAAGAAGAAGCCCCGGCUAACUCCGUG
rnacentral:rRNA from 1 species